rnacentral:rRNA from 1 species
GACGAACGCUGGCGGCGUGCCUAAUACAUGCAAGUAGAACGCUGAAGGAGGAGCUUGCUUCUCUGGAUGAGUUGCGAACGGGUGAGUAACGCGUAGGUAACCUGCCUGGUAGCGGGGGAUAACUAUUGGAAACGAUAGCUAAUACCGCAUAAGAGUAGAUGUUGCAUGACAUUUGCUUAAAAGGUGCAAUUGCAUCACUACCAGAUGGACCUGCGUUGUAUUAGCUAGUUGGUGGGGUAACGGCUCACCAAGGCGACGAUACAUAGCCGACCUGAGAGGGUGAUCGGCCACACUGGGACUGGGACACGGCCCAGACUCCUUCGGGAGGCAGCAGUAGGGAAUCUUCGGCAAUGGACGGAAGUCUGACCGAGCAACGCCGCGUGAGUGAAGAAGGUUUUCGGAUCGUAAAGCUCUGUUGUAAGAGAAGAACGAGUGUGAGAGUGGAAAGUUCACACUGUGACGGUAUCUUACCAGAAAGGGACGGCUAACUACGUG